rnacentral:rRNA from 1 species
AUUGAACGCUGGCGGAAUGCUUUACACAUGCAAGUCGAACGGCAGCACGGGAGCUUGCUCCUGGUGGCGAGUGGCGAACGGGUGAGUAAUAUAUCGGAACGUACCCCGUCGUGGGGGAUAACUCUCCGAAAGGAGUGCUAAUACCGCAUACGACCUGAGGGUGAAAGCGGGGGACCUGCAAGGGCCUCGCGCGAUGGGAGCGGCCGAUAUCGGAUUAGCUAGUUGGUGAGGUAAAGGCUCACCAAGGCGACGAUCCGUAGCGGGUCUGAGAGGACGACCCGCCACACUGGAACUGAGACACGGUCCAGACUCCUACGGGAGGCAGCAGUGGGGAAUUUUGGACAAUGGGGAAACCCGUGAUCCAGCCAUUCCGCGUGAGUGAAGAAGGCUCGUGUAGAUCUUCUACGUCGUACGGAACGGAAACCGGUAAACGGG